AUUGAACGCUGGCGGCAGGCCUAACACAUGCAAGUCGAGCGGAGCGGCGGACGGGUGCGUAAUGCCUAGGCAUCUGCCUGGUAGUGGGGGAUAACGUCCGGAAACGGGCGCUAAUACCGCAUACUAUCAGAUGAGCCUAGGUCGGAUUAGAUAGCUGGGGGGGUAAAGGACUACCAAGGCGACGAUCCGUAUCUGUGAUGAGAGGAUGAUCAGUCACACUGGAAAUGAAACACGGUCCAGACUCCUACGGGAGGCAGCGGUGGGGAAUAUUGGACAAUGGGCGGAAGCCUGGUCCAGCCAUGCCGCGUGUGUGGAAAAGGUAUUCGGAUUGUGAAGCACUUUAAGUUGGGAAGCGUUACCAACAGAAUAAGCACCGGCUAACUUCGUGCCAGCAGCCGCGGUAAUUC
rnacentral:rRNA from 1 species